rnacentral:rRNA from 1 species
AUGUCUGUUUUCAAAGCACAAAGAGUUCUUGACGAGAUUCGCUGGCGUUACUACGAGGAAACGGUUAUGAUACUAAACCUCAUGCCCUAUCGAGCAUCUUAUCCCAUCUUAAAGUUGGUUUAUUCGGCAGCCGCAAAUGGUACUCAUUAUAGGGAUUUCGACAAAGCGAAUUUAUUUAUUACUAAAGCCGAAGUCAGUAGGAGUACUAUUAUGAAGAAAUUCAGACCUCAAGCUCGAGGACGUAGUUUCCCCAUAAAAAAGCAUGUGUCAUAUAAGAAUUGUACUAAAUAUAGUAAAGAAAUCUAA